AAAUAAUUUUUAAAAAAUCAUAAACAAAACCAAUCUAUUAGCCCUUCCUUCCCUUCUUCCUCAGAACUCAUUGCUGCAAACCUCUGGGCAGCUCAUCACCACUUCUCUAAACAGAAACAAACUCACCAAGUUAAAUGGUGUAUGUUUUUUCUGCUUCAACAUUACUGAAAUACUAAGUUAUCCAAACACUAGUCAGAGAAAUUAUCCCUCUAAUGAAACAUAGCUUAAGGGCAUAAAACGUUAGGUCUUAAUAGUGGGGAUUUUUGUCUGCAACUUGAAAUUGUUUAUCUUCCAUUUUCAGUAUCUAAAUUCUUUAUUCCAGACAGUAAGUUACAGAACUUCAUUUACAAUAACAGUUAUGUUGCCAUGUUAAUUAAGCAUAGGAAGAUGGUCUUUAUAAGGGCAUUUUGUGCUGUUUUUCCCCCUGUCUUAUAGUUUUGAACCCUAUCUAGAGUGGUUUAAAAAAAAAAAAAAACGAGACAGUGAAACAGUUUCCAUUGCAAUCAGUGAGUUCUUGAACCAGGGCCACUUAUGCAAAUGAAACAAAACUGAGUGAGCCAUUUGCAAUGCAUAAUUUAGCUAAAAAUGUUAACCUCUCCUUCUGUUCAAGGCUUAUCCACAAGCGAAUCACACAUUCCUUGAAUAUAUUUCUAUUUAGACAUCCUUUCUGGGGAGAAAAAAGAAAAAAACAAAACAAAACAAAAAACCAAAAACAUUACUCUAGGGACCUUAUCAUCACAAUUUUUCAGGAGUAUUUGGUAACAUUUAUUUAAAGUUGUGACUGGUAGUGAGUACAGAUUUAUUUUUUAUUUCUAUUUAUAAUUCAAAUCACACAGUUUAAAAUAUUUGUAGCUAAAAUCCUGUAGCAUUUUAUUUAAAGAGAGAGUAGGACUUGUUUUUCUUAUUCUUAACAUUUUCGAAAGCACAUUGCAUGUUGCUCUGUCUAAUACAAUAAAGAACUUCCAGAAGGGAAAUUUUUCAAACUGCCUGUACUUUAAGAAUUCCUAUUCUGAAAACAGUUGGAAAGUAAGAUCUAAUUCUGUUUAAAAUGGUAUAUCAGGCUUCUCUUUGUGAGAGGUCAAAAUGACAGAAUUGUAAUCACAUGGAUAUUUAUGGGACCUUUGUGCACGGAGGAAAACUCGCUGACCAUGCACAGACCUCACUGGAAGCCCAUGUUAGCACACUCUAAAUUUUCAUAUCAUAGACCCAAACUCUCACCUUCGAUUUCUAACAGACUUGGCAGCAGAUCACAUCAUAAAGAAAGUGUAACUCAUCUGCAAAAAAGUGUGCUAGAUAUACUCACUAGAAGCCCAGCUUCUUAUACAGGAAACAAUGUUGUUUGGAUAACAAGAUUUGGGAGCAGCAUUUUCUCAGUUUUUUUCCCAUAGAUGCAGGAAACAAGAAGGGCAACUCAGUAGACAGGACUUUGGCUUAUUAGAAGAGUAACGUUUUCCCAUCAUGAUAAUAGCUGCAGAAGACUAAAGAGAAACAAUUAUUUUUAGUAAGUUUUAAACAUAUUCUGCCAUAGAAUGUUUGUAAUUAGCUGAUUUUGAAUAAGCAGUGUCUUAAACUUAUGAAUAUUUAACUGUAAGGGAGAAAUGCAGAUAUCCUAAUAUGUUUAUUGGCAUGAAAAUUGUAGUGCUAAUAAAGCUAAUGGUUUAUAAAAUAGAUUAAAAAAAAUAAUUGAAACACCAAUUAUAGCAACAUAAUUAUGUAGAUUGUUCUGAAGAUAAUUAACUAAACAACACACAAUAGUGAUUGGCUUUUACCCAUAAGGAAUAAUUAAAAAAAAAGAAAACAUAUAAAGUUUUAAUAGAAAAAAUGGAACUACGUUUUAAGUACUCAUUUUAGAUUUAGUUCCUGUAAGGGCAGAAUAUUUCUGCUUCAGCUUACUCAGCAUCCAGUUCUCCAAAACGGUAUUCAUUUGGUUUCCCCUCCAUAUCACAGCAAAAGGAUUAAAUGAGUGAAGAUGUGAAGAAACUAAAGUCAAAAAUAUUCCAAAUGAAGCUUAUUUUAUACUUGUUAUAGUAAGCCUUUUAGUAUUACUAUGUUCCAUGAAAGUAUUUUAAUCUCAAGAAAUUUUUUCUACAUUCCUCCUAAAUUUUUUUAUCUUUUAGUAAUUGACUAGUUUACCCACAGAGGCAUGUUGUCCUACUUUCUAUGGCAGGAAUGGGAAGGUUUCUUAGUAAAUAUUACACACCCCUUAUCAUCAAAGGGAGUAAAAAAUUUACCUUACCUUUGUUCCUGAACUGCAACACAGAUUUUAAUAGCAUGUACCUUGGAAUACCAGAGGCCUUAAAGAUUUUAAACCUUGCUUACGAUUUUAUCAUUUUUUUUAUAUUGUAUCUGAUACUUUCUGUAAUAUACAAAUAUGUGUAUUUAUUCAGUCUUCCUUGCUAUAGGGAAUAAUCCCUAUCCCUUGGGAAUGAACUGAGAAUGAUGUCCUGCCUCUAGAAAGUUAAAGGAGUUCUACAUGGUAAGCCACAGCAGGGCUUUCCCUUUAAAUGGUUGAUGAUUCUCUCAGAGAAUCUACUUUACUUCUGUAAGAAAACAGGUAUGAUCAGCCAACUCUUACAGAUUCAAAAUUGUAGAACAACAGAAUUCAGACUGAAUGGGAAUAAAAAUAAGCAGAGUGGAGUGUGGAAGUGUCCUAUACACACAUCAUUUUGAGGAAAAAAAAAAUCUCAAUUUGUCCUGAGGACCGAAUGUUAAAUGAAUUUGAACUUCUAUAUAAAGGCAAGUUUCAAAGAUUAUUUCUACUGAUGAUAAGAAACUGAACAAUCUAAUUCAGUUCCUGCAUCCUGUAUUAACUUAAUGACUUGAUUGUUGAAAGUUUUAACUCGAUUGUCUGUGAUUUAGUUCAAUUCCACACCUGAGCUUGAUUUUCUGAUUACAAUAUCUAAUUUCUUGGAUUAAUAAUUGAUAAUGGUUUGGAUUUAUAGUGACUGGCUUGCUUUCUCUAUUUGUUUGUUUUAUAGUGUUUUCUAAAACGUGUAAAAAUAUGUAAAACCAGAUUAAAUAAGAAAUUAGUAAAUUAUACUGCCAGUCUUAAAAAGUUACUUAAAUAUAUUCUUUUGCUUAAUAAAGCAAUCGAUUCUCUCCCUGAAAACCACAAACUGAUUCCCAAGCAGAAAGACAGGAGUGAAAAGAAUGUCAUGGUUUCGCCAGGUUAUCUGUGCCACUAGGCUGCAUGUUUCUUUGUACUCGUUAUGUGAUGCCACUUCCACUUCCUGCAUAGAUUAGUGAAUUUUGAGAUAAGAAUACUCUAUGCACAUAUGAACUUGAGCAGGGUGGUCAUAAAAGAUGUGAAAACCAAGACCUUAUAAUUAAAUUCCCAUGAACAGAAAAAACACUAUUUUAAAAUAGUUGUAAGUUGUAAACACAGUAGCAUCAGGAACACAGUAGAAAUAAUACUUAAAUCAGAGUUAAUAUUUUAAAAAUUAUUUGCCAGUUGCAAUUUGCAUUCAAAUAAUGUAAAAAGUAGAAACAAAAUUAUUCAUUUUUUCUGCUCUAUUCUGUUAGAAUACUUCACAGAAUAACAGAAUCACAGAAUGUUAGGCAUUGGAAGGGACCUCAAAAGAUCAUCUAGUCCAAUCCUCCUGCCAGAGCAGGAACACCUAGAUGAGGUUACACAGGAAGGUGUCCAGGUGGGAUUUGAAUGUCUCCAGAGAACGAGACUCCACAACCUCCCUGGGCAGCCUGUUCCAGUGUUCUGUCACCCUUACUGAGAAGAAGUUUCUUCUCAAAUUUAAGUGGAACCUUUUGUGUUCCAGUUUGAACCCAUUACCCCUUGUCCUAUCAUUGGUUGUCACCGAGAAGAGCCUGGCUCCAUCCUCAUGACACUCACCCUUUACAUAUUUGUAAACAUUAAUAAGGUCACCCCUCAGUCUCCUCUUCUUCAAGCUAAAGAGACCCAGCUCCCUCAGCCUUUCCUCAUAAGGGAGAUGCUCCACUCCCUUAAUCAUCUUCGUUACUUCACUAAUAUUCAAAUAGCACAUAAGUUUACCUUCAGAUUUUUCCAGAAAUUCUUCUUUUUUGAUGUAUAAUCUUGUACGGCAGUAAGAAAUGUCAGGGCUAAAAACAUAGUUUAAAGCUUUAUGCUUGAAUUGUCUAUUUAUUCUUUUGAGCAGAGAUUGAAUGUAAGGGUUGAUACUUUUAGUCAGUGAUGUUGACAAAACUGACACAUAAAUGAAAAACUUACAGCUGAGAUUCUCUGUACAUUUGAAAAGAUAUAAGGGAAUUGUUUGCAAAGUUUUAUUGAAAUCACUGUUUCAAUUUAUCUUUGUUAGCACAGCUACAGAAAACUGAAAUACAUUUUUCCUGUAUAAAUUAAACUAAUUAUAACAGAAUUAGACAAGGAGGGGAAAAAAGAAUAGCAUACUUUAUUCUAAAGGAAAAAUGUUUUAGUAGAAAAAUAUUUACAUAUUUUUACUUCAACUUCUAUAACAAAUGGUUUGGGUCCAUUUCUUUAAGAAUGCCUAAAACUUGCAAGAAUCAACAAUGUCAAAUAAUUUCCUUUCUCCCUUUGGUCAGAAGGGUAAUUUCCAUACAUUAAUGAAAUUUAACCCAAACACUUCUUCUUAACUAAUGACAGGGUAAAUUAUCAUUGCUAACUGCUUUAUUCUCUUUUCCUAUAAGAUGCAUGAUGAAAAAGUUCAGAGCAGUCUGAACUGUGUUUACUGAACAAGGGGCUAAGGUCAUAUACAAUGGUAAGCUCUAAUUCUUAAACCACCAAAAUAUUUAUCUUAUGCAUAAAGGUAAACAUGCAAUAGGCCUCCAAAGUUAAUUGAAAUCAAAUGCUUCUAUCCAUAAGUCCCCAUCAAAAUGUCUCAUUGGAAAAUAUCAGGAAAUAAAGUCUUAUCUUGAUUGCAAUUAUAUUUUCAUAUGCAUAUUUUAUAUUGGCUUUCAUAAGACCCCAAAAGUUCCUGUGGCUAAACAGUUGGUGACCAACAUCAAAAAUACCAUGAAACAGAAAUGUCGUAACAAUAAUGAUACAAUGUUUAAGUACAGCAAAACAGCUGAAAUUAAAAAAAAAAAAAAAAAAUCUUGGAGAGAUUAUACAAGUUUUUUGAGAAAUGGGGAACAAAUUGUCUCUGCUCCUUUGAAGUCUAACUGCAAAAAUAUUUAUGUAGCUUCCUUUCAUGAUGACACAAACUAAAUGAUACAGGAAACCAAAAUAACCAGAAUGUACCAGUACAUAUUAAACUAUUCCAUUAUUCAGCUGAAGCUCCUAAUACACCUAGAAGUUUAAGAUAACUACAGGUAAAGUAUGCACUGCAGCAGUGAAUUAAAUGUCUUUUUUCAAAAAAGAACAGUCUGAGCCAGUCAGAAUUUCACAACUCAUUACUCCCUGUUGUCCAUCACCUGAUAACACCUUGUCGCCACAUUGAAAUAUUUGUACUCCCAAAGAAAAAAAAAAUUCAUGCCUUGUCUCCAGAAAUGAGUCUAAAUUAUUUAAUUAUCUGAAAUUUGCUAAUUUAAGAUCCAUUUAGUAUUUAAAUCGUUCCAUUGUUUUUCAGCAAAUUGAGAUACGUGUGUUCACACGAAAAUCAUGCCAUGGGUUAUUUGGCACAGAAUGAGCCAAUAGAAUGACCCUACCUGGCAAGAAAGCCAAAAGAACAUGAGCAAAUAUAAUCACUAUUAAAAAAAAAAAAAAAUCUCAAUAUGAAGAAUAUAAUGAUCCAUUUUACCCUGCUAAAGUCAAACUAUAUAAAAAGUAUGUGCAUUAAAGACAGUCAAAAUGUAUAUUGUUUGGGUAUUUUGUGAAUAGUCAAACAUUUUAAAAAUCUCUAUUCACAGUGCUAAUGGAACAAUUCACUAAACACAUUUGAUUGUUUUGCAAUACAAAAGAACAACUUAUAUUUCAUUGUUUAAUUUUGAAACCAUUCAACACAAUUUUUUAAAUUAAGUUGGUCUGUUCGUGUAAAUAAAAAGUAUAUGCUAAAUCCUAUCAUCCUUUACAGCUAGCCAAUUGCAUGCUUAAUAUUUUCCCUCAAGCAUUUUUUAGUUCUUUUUCUAUCUAGUCUGGCCUCACAAGAUUGUGCUUCAUGACAAAAGCUCCAAAUGCAAGUAAAAAUACAGCACCUUCAACAGAGGAAGCUGCAGCAUUCAAACGGAAAUAGAAAGGGGAAGAUGUAGGUCUUUUAUUUAAAAGUUCUAAAUUCUAAAUGGGGUGAGAAGCUUCCAUUGGGUGGAGGCAGAAGAAUUUUUGUUUUUUUUUUUUUAAAUUACCAUUUGAAAAUUAUUUUCUCAAAUUGUUUUGGACAAAUGGAGGGAAAAUGAAAACACAAAAGCCUGAAAACAAAGUAAAACAUUCAGUAAAUGUUUAAAACCGCAAAACAAGUAAUAAUAAAAAAGGAUAUUAAAAAAAUCAUUUCUCCACAUUCCUUCAGUCAUGCAAUCUGUGUUGGCUAAAUCACUGAUAGCACAGAGAAUGAUUUUAAGAAAAUGUGUAUGUGUUUAUCUUUUUUAUCUUACUUUAGAUAUAUCAGAAGCAAAAAUACAUUUUUUUUCCUUCUCUAUGCUAUGAUUUCCACAAUAGCUACUGUUUGGAAAAAAAAAAAAAAAAAGAAAAAAAAUAAGGUUUGAUAUGAAAUCACCACUGAAAAAGCUUUUGGUAAGAGUACUAAAAGCCCUCUGUACCUAGAAGACUCGCUCUCCCUCUCUCUCUGUGAGCUGCUGAAACAAUCACAAUCACCGGAAAUCCAGCUCCUUUGUAAUCAAAGGGAGUUACCCCACAGGCUUUCCCAAGGCCAAGGGUUCACUGUAUAAAUUAAGUCAAGUCUUUAUUAAACCCUUCAGAAAUUUCAACUUUUCUGCAUGCUUUUGUGAUCCUGAAAAGUCCCAAAAUGUGCACAGCAUGAAUUCAGCUUGCUUUAUUAGAAAGACCUUGUGUCUGUUUACUUUACAAAACGUCAGAUACAUCUGAAUUUUCUUUCAGGUAUUUGCUUCUUCUGAAUACUACUGUCUCCUACUGGUUGUGUUAAACUUUUCUUCAGAAGACACUUACCAGUGAAUAACAAGUAUUUGAAUAUCAGCUUGAUGUUUUUCCUUGCCAUUUUAUGCUCCUGACUCCAUCAAUAAAAUCUGCUGCAGCAAUGCUAAAGCAAUGUCUCAGUAAAAGCCAAGCAAGAACUGCUCAUUCCUUUACCUGAAGAUAAGUGUGGAAUGAACCGGCCUGGGCAAAUUUACUCUCAACAGAACAUAAUCAUGAUUAUAAUUACACAUAGAUUUAUUUAAGAUUACCUCUAUUCAUUCUUGGCAUUUUCUUAAAGCUUUACAGACCUGUUAGCUUUUUCCCUUCCCUUUUUUUUUUUCCCCACAGUGUAAAGUGAUGAUCAGGUUCAGUGUCUAAUGAGGCAGCCAUUCUGAACACGUAGAGACAAAGAAGAGGUUUCCCUGGCAACGAGGACCAUGCCAAAGCUCUCAGAACAGUUAUUUCUCCUGUAUUCAGGUUCUUUUUCUGUUUAGGAUGCCUGUUAUUAUGGGUUCAGAGGCAAUGCCUGGCAAGCUUUUCUGAGAUUACAUAUACUUGAUAAAAUACAGCUAAGGCUAUGUUUUAUGAGUAAACUGAAAAGUGGCGAGCUGAUGUAUAUUUUUUCAGUUUUAUAUAUUUCUUUAUGGAAGCUUAAAGCAAUGAUUAAUACAAGAUCAUUAUGUAUGUCUAAGGCUAUUAAAUAUACUACCCAUAUCUCUUUAGAGCUUAAUCAGUCUCAGCAAAAUUUGUGGGUGUUCACUGAAUUCUGAGCCAUAUUUCUGCUGUCACUAGAAUAAGCACAGAUCUAGGUUUUAACUUUGAAAUACAUAUUAAUUUAAGCUCAUAUGGAUGUGAGCAAAGAUUUAUAGUUAUAUAUAAUAUAACCUGGGUUUAAAUCUCAAUUCAAAUGUAGAGAAAGAUUACACCAAUAAAAUAUUGAAAUAUUAGACAAUUUUUACUGUUUGAAAAUAAGAAGUAAUUACAAUAACAUUAAGUCAUUUAAUUAAUUUAAAUCUUUGUUUGCCAGGAACAAUGUGAAAUCUAUGAACUUGCUAUGAUAAAGACUUGUAAAGUCAGUUUAACAGAUGAGCUCUUCCACAUGCUUACUAUUUCUUUGAUCUGAAAAGUGUUCUCAAAGUACACCUGCUCAUAUACAUUAAACAUAUAGUUGCAGUUUUAAUUUCCUAUAAAACAGAAGCAUUAAUUUCAUGACCAAGAUAUUCACUGGGAUGCAGAAUAAAAUAGUUCGCAUUGGAAGGGAACUACGAAGAUCACUUAGUCCAACUGAAAAAAAACAAAAAAAUAUUUCCACCUUCUUCUUCAAGAGAAUUCAAAUCAACUGUCUGUCUUUCUUUCUUUUCUUUCUUUCUCUCUUUCUCUCUUUCUUUUCCUCCCUUCCCUUCCCUUCCCUUCCCUUCCCUUCCCUUCCCUUCCCUUCCCUUCCCUUCCCUUCCCUUCCCUUCCCUUCCCUUCCCUUCCCUUCCCUUCCCUUCCCUUCCCUUCCCUUCCCUUCCCUUCCCUUCCCUUCCCUUCCCUUCCCUUCCCUUCCCUUCCCUUCCCUUCCCUUCCCCUCUCCCCACUUCCUUCCUACCUCCUACCUACUUGGACAUCAAGUUUAUGAAUAUUUUGAGAAAACAAUAUUGUUUGCCAACAAGUACAGCAAACAGUAAACUUUUACUGCAGUCAUCAUCUUAUCUGUCAGAAGCUGAACUUUUAAAUCAUUAAUCCAGAUCAUUUUUUGAAAGAAAGAUCCUAGCCCUUUAAAGUUCUUCAUGCGAAAAUUCAAGCAUUAGGAUCCCAAGAGGACAAAACCUCCCUACAGCCUUGAGUAAAGAAUCUAAAAGGCAGAAUUUAAUAUUUCUCUCUUCAUUAUUCACUAUUGAUGAUCUGUAGGAAGCUACAUAAAGAGUGUUUAUGCAUACUGAGUACAGUCCUGCAUAUUUAGGAAGAACUCCAGGCAGGUACUUCCACUGGGAUCAUAAACAGAUGGCAUACUAACUCCCUCUGUCUGUGAGAUAGGAUGCAAAGUUUUCUGAUUAGACUGGAAUGAUUAGAAGGCUAGAAAACAGGCUCUGCACAGUUCCUUGGAUCAGGUUCUGAUACACUAACUAAAUCACUUGUCACAAGUUCAGCUGGGAUUGGUAGGGCUGGGAAGAUAUUACUUGAUUCUCCUUCAUAUCCUACCAUAAAUUCAAUUCCACUGUUACAUAUAAAAUCAAGCUAGUUUCAAAAUAGUAAGAAACUAAGGAAGAAAAAUAAAAAUGAGAAAUAGGAGUAAAAUAAAUUUAAAAGUGGAAUCUUGCUUUGAAGUAGUAAGGAUGAUAGUCUCCUUUUUUUUUUUUCUGCUGUGAAGGCUGCAAAGGAAUCUCAUUUUAGCUUUGUAAGACCACAGUGAUUGCUUCAGACACAAAAUUAAUCAGAUCUCUUGUUGGAUUAUGUGGGUGGUAUUUCCAAUCUUCCCUAGUGUGAAAAUUCACAGCCUGCAGCUGUGGCAUGCAAACUCAAAUAUUUUUCUCUUUCGUUUCGCCUUUAAAAAGAAGGACUUGCAUUCAUUUGCUGUUUUUAAGAAAAAGGAAAGAAGAAAAGGAAAAAAAAAAGUUGAAGGCCCAUUAAAUAUUAGUAGUUUGAAGCAGAGCAGUUGUAAAACAAAACAGUAUAAACGUGAAGUGAAUUAAUUUGUCUUGACAACAGCAUAUUUUUAGUACAGUUACAAUCUAGUAUUGGAAAAUUAACAAUAAGUUAUAUAAUUUUUCAGGUGUAUAAAAGUAAGAUAAGGAGUAAGAUAAUGGUUGUAAACAACCAUUUUGCAGUGCUAAGAGUCAUAAAAAAAGACUUUUUUUCUGAUAUUUGCUUACUUGUUCUUAAAGAAUUAAUUUUUCUCUUUAUACAGAAAAAUUGUUUGGUGUUAUUAAUACCUAUUGAAACAUAUUUAUUGGAUUCUGUGUGUAAUUCAAACAAAUCAGAUAAAACAUAAACUUGGUAUUCUAUAUCAUUAAAAUCACUCUGCAAAUUCCCAGAUGAACUUCACUUCCAAGUACACUUUUGUUAGUCUAGGAAUCUCUACUCCCAGGGGGAGAGGAAGGAAAAAAAAAAAAAAUAUUUGCUAUUACAACAUAAAGUUGAUCUUCCAUGUCGUGUCAAAGCUGCUCUAAAGUUUUUCCACAUACCCUGUAAAUUAUUUUCUUUCCCUAAUGUCUUGUUGUAUUGUUUGGCAGUACGAAGACUAGGAAAACACUAUUAACACUUAAGCUAAUUAAGGUUUUCAGAAAACAUUGGUUUCAUUGUUCUCAUUAACAGAUUUUUUUAAAAAUGCAAUUCAGAUAUAUGAAAAAGAAGAUUGCCUUUAAAUCUCAAGAAAUGAAUGUAAGUGUUCAUAUUCUGGUACAUUAACAGUUUGUUCCAGUACAUUGGUAUUUUAUGUAGAAAUCUUACUCUGCAAUUAAUAUGCCUGAUGCAAAUUGAAAAACCCAUAAUCCAUCCUUCUCUGUUGGAAUGUAAGUGCAUAUUAUUAUUGAGAAGCUACAGGAUACCAGAAGCAUUUUUUAAAGCUGAAUGCUCAUUACCUUAAAUCUGCAUAUAAAAUGGUUGGCUUUCAGACAAGGUAAUAUAUACCCAAAUAUAUCAUGAUACAUAUGAAAAUGUAACAAAUAACAAUAAUAAUCAUUCCAGUGUGUUUCACGUCCACAGAGAUACUUAUGUCUUCUAGCAUUAGAAAUUAAAAAUAGCUAAAAACCAAAUACAGAUUGAUAAUGAAAUGCCUAACUGUUCUAGCUAACAAGAGAUAUCUGGGUGCUCACUUCCAUUAUACUUGAAAAUCAGGUGAUCAUUGUUGUCUUGCUAGGAAUUUCCCAAACCCACUGACGAGAAAAAAAAAUAUUUUUGCACACAUAAUAGCAAUUAAUAUUUUUGUAAAUAUAAAUAAAAUAUGUCACCAUCACUUACUACUUCAUGCAGAUAAUUUUAGCUCAGGUUUUUGCUUGGGUGGGUAUUUCCUUUCCCUGAUUAGAUGCGGAAUGUUUAUUACGAAGGAGCAGGGUGCUAUGGCUGUUCAGUACAGAACUCUUCUACAAGUAACAGCAAGCAAUGUUUGCACAUUUUAGUGGUUUGUCAUUGUAUUGAUCUUCUGAAUCGAGUCCUCUUAAAGGGCUUAUCAGAGUGAAAAUAAAUGAAUAUCAUUGGAGAUGUCGUUUCCUGACACAGUUUUCAGAAUACUUUGUCUUUCAUGCUGACAUUGAAAGAAAACAGUUCUCAGGAGCCUUUUUAACAUUGGACACAGAUCUUAACAUAAAGUUGCGUUCUGAUUCAGGUAAAAAGAAAAUGUCACUAAAAAGUUCAAGUUCUAUCUGAAAUUGAUAGUCACAGAUUCUGGAAGACUAUAGAAAUCAUUCUUUAUUUCCAAAACAAAAACCACCUAGAGGUCUUUUGUAUUAUUGGGCUUUUUUUUUUUUGCCUUCUCUUUUUUCUUUCUUUGCAAGUAUGCAUGCACCUGGUAGCCUGUUUUUCCUGAGGGUCUGGGAAGAUCCCCUCAACAAGGGUAUUUUCUACAACCAUGACAUAAUUUCACAACAGGAUGAGGCACAGGUGUAUACCCUCAAUUUCUGGAGAGAUUAUGGUUUCUAUUGAAAGAAAAAGAAGGUAUGUUGGCUAGAAGAGAUGCAGAGUGUUCUGCAGCAAGUCCUCAGUUUAGAUGUCAUGAAACCAGUACAAUGAAAUGUGCCAAAACUGCCCCACACAGGAGUCAUAAUUUAUGUUAACCUUUAUCUGAAGAUCUCAAAGCACUUUGCAAACAGGAACAAUCCUGGUUGGAAAUGUGUUUGUGGGAAAAACUUUUAUAAACUUGAAGAAUAACUAGGACAGGAACAAGAAUCUCUUAAAAAUGUUCACAGAUGCUUUUUUCCAGACAUAUCUAGGAUCUUCAUAUUUACUAUAAAAUCCCUAGCAAACUGUCAGAGGAUGACCAGCAAUGGCAAAGCUUUUCCACAACCUCUGUCUCACAUGGUAGGAAUUCUCAUUCACCUUUUAAAUACAUCAUCCCUUUUGGGGGAGCAGGAGGGGUGGAGCAGUCUUAGUCUGCACAUAAGAAGGAUAUAAUGCAAGAGUCUAAAUGUUGUAUUUGGCCAUAGCACUGAGUGGCAUGAUGAGCAGACUCUCAUUAUACUCUAAUAAACUCUAAGGAGUUUAGACAAAUACUUUGCCUUUAUAACAUGUAUUUUUUCCUUAUGAGGUCCACAAAUUCCUUUGGAAAAAAUGCCUCUAUGAGAAAUAUAUUAACUGUCAACUAAUGGCAUUCUGCUCUGACACCAACCUAGCCUUCCUGCUCACAGUUGUUCUCUGAGCAAGGAAUGUGUUGCUACUCUGGCAAUUUUUCCAUUAAGAAUGAUGACAACACCUCAUUGUAACUCUUUCAGAAUAUUACUAUUUCAUGCAGGUCAUCAAAAGAUAAACUUAGAAUGAAUAAAACCAGCAAACUGUAUUCUGCAAAGAUUACAAGAAGACUGGUUCAAAAAGGUGAUUAAAAACCUAGAUUGGGUCUUGCUUGUAGAAUUUUUUUUUUCCCUACAUGCUUCAUUAGCAUAGUAUUAUAGUUUAAAAGCUUACUUUUAAACAGAGGGUCUUCAAAGCUUUCUUAGUCUCACAAAGUCUGUUCUCUUGAUUCUUUGUCAAGAAAGAAAAUGCCAUUGAAUUGUGUAUCCAAGAAGAAACAAAUCCACAGCUAAAUAUCCACUUUUGUCACUCAACAAUGCUAGUUCACAAGUAGCAUUAACUUUUCUAUUUAAGUUUUCACCUCUUUAGCAUUUACUCUUUCUCUCCUACGUAACAGUGUUGCUGAUGAAUUUGACUUAACCUCUAAACUCUCAUCUUCCCUUUCUUUCAUGAGCUCAUUAAAUACUCCUUUCUGUCAAGAAAAGAGUAAAAUUACAUUAAAAGAAACACUUUCUCCUGUUAUAGUUAGGCAGGAGUUAAUGGCUUGUACUUUACCUGUAAUAUGUGAAAACAGAUGAAAAGGGGAAAAAAAAAUCCCAGAAAAUCCCAUUUACUUAAUCCCAUUAACUUUUAUAGGAAAAUAUUCUAAUGAGAAAACAUUUUUGUUUUCCUAGUUAUCAUAGUAUCAUCAAACUACCAAUCCUUGACAUCUUCAUCUCUCUGUAGCAGCAAUGAUAGGGUAAGUCAUUGACGCUUUUUUUUCCCUUGCAUCUUUCCUCUUUCCUUGUUCAAGCUGCUGAAGUAUUCAUUGCUGAGGCAAAUGAACCUGAAAAGCUUUAUGGACAUAGGGCAUGGUGUAAUGAUUGACAUCAGUGCUCAUCACACACUCAUUUCCAUGAAAUAUACACUUCAGCAGAGUGAGAGAAUAUACUCUUCCUGUGUUUUCCUUGAUGUUGAAGUAGCAAGUUUACAUGAUAUAUUAAAUGAAAAAUCUCCAUUAAAAGAUCCCAAAUAAUAUAACGUAAUUUAAACUGUUAGCAAUCAGACAGAGAAUAUUACAAAUUUCUGUGAAUCCUCACAAUUCAAGCGAUGUCUAUGAUAUCCUUAUGCAUUCCUAAAGGCUUCUGGCUAGAAGUUAUCAAUAAAAGAUGCCACCCCAAUAGUAGCAUUUUGUGUUAUCAAAAUUUAUCCAUAGAAUCUCAGUGGACACACAGGACAGCAACUUCCUGCAGCUGUCCAAUAUUGUAUUGGAGUGUUGGAUACUGCAGCUGUGGGAGAUUCCCACCUCACCUAUCACAAACCCUGAAAACUUCUUUAAAGCCAAACAAAGGUUUAGUAAAAGGAAAUAAUUAAUGUGUAGCAAUAAAUUUAUUUAAUUUAGAGACACCAUCUUUCUGCCUGCACUUUAGAACUCCAAGAGAUUUUGCCUUCUGAUGUAUGCAGCAAAAGUAGUCGGGAUACUGCACAGCUCAUGGAAUCAAAGGCCUCCUUCAGAGGAUCACUCUCUGAACAGUACCCUCUUUCUGAGGACACCUGCAGCUUUCUGAAACUAAAGCAUUCCUGAAAUCGUAUUUAGACUUCACUCUAUCCUUCUUCAGGAGGAAGCUUAUAAUCUUCUUCCUUCAACAAAAUAUGUAAUGCCUGACUUAAAAAGUACUACUGUCAUUUGGAUAUUACAAAGCUAUCUUGAGCCUGGUCUGUAUACAGAAUACGCAAACCACUGCUCCACUGCUCCCCUAUAAACAAGCAGUUCAUCCUUCCCUGCCUGAUUUCUUCAUACCCUGAAAUCAACUUUUCUUAUAAACAUGCGCAAUGAUAAUGUUAUCUUACAGGUGUAAUUGAAAAUAAUGAAUCUUGUUCAUGCCUAGCUCUCAGUCAAAAUGAGACAUCACAAGAACAAAACAACCCUGAGGUGAUAAUGGCUGGGAGGUGAAGCUGAAGGCUUUGAAGGAUACUGUUGGAGUAAUCAAGUAGGAGAUUCUAAAAUUCUUGUCCUGGUUUUGGCUGGGAUAGAUAAUUUUCUUUCUAGUAGCUGUGUUCUGGAUUUAGUAUGAGAAGAAUGUUGAUAACUCACUGAUGUUUUGGUUGAUGCUGGGUAGUCAAGGAUUUCUCCACCUUCCAUACUCUACCAGGUGCACAAGAAGCUGGAACAAAGCCAGGAUAACUGACCCAAGCUGGCCAAAGGGGUAUUCCUUGCCAUAUGACAUCGCGCCCAGUAUAUAAACUGGAGUUGGCCAUGGUGCGAAUACCACUGCUUAGGAACAGAUGGGCUAUUGGUGCUGCAAGCAGUGAGCAAUUAACGUCACUUGGUUUGUGUUUUCUACUCCUCCUCCUCCUCCUCCUCUUCCUACUACUACUACUAUUAUUAUUAUUACUAUUAUUAUUAUUAUUGCUGUUCCAUUAAACUGUUCUUAU